GAUGAACGCUAGCGGCAGGCUUAACACAUGCAAGUCGAGGGGCAGCACAGGUAGCAAUACUGGGUGGCGACCGGCAAACGGGUGCGGAACACGUACGCAAUCUACCCUUGUCAGGGGAAUAGCCCGGAGAAAUCCGGAUUAACACCCCGUAAAAUAUUAGAAAGGCAUCUUUUAAAUAUUAAACUACGGUGGACAGGAUGAGCGUGCGUCCCAUUAGCUAGUUGGUAGGGUAACGGCCUACCAAGGCAACGAUGGGUAGCUGGUGUGAGAGCACGACCAGCCACACGGGCACUGAGACACGGGCCCGACUCCUACGGGAGGCAGCAGUGAGGAAUAUUGGUCAAUGGACGCAAGUCUGAACCAGCCAUGCCGCGUGAAGGAU
rnacentral:rRNA from 1 species